AUGCUGGAGUCCCUGCAUUGGAUUGUUUACAAAGAAAAUAGUGUCUACAGCUUGGAAUGGGAGAAGUUAAUGGGAGAAUUUCAAGAAGAGUUGUUGGAAAACAUGCCACAGAAAACAAACAAGCAAAUAAAGAAAAACUUUAAAGAACAGUAUAAGAACGGUUAUCAACUAAAGAAAUAUAAAUUAACUAGAUGGAUGGUGGAUCCCUUUGCACUAUGGAUGAGAAACUGGAGUUGAAGAGAGGGAUAACACCUUACCAUGCCACUUGCAUUGUUCUUCUGUUACAACCUUAUCUCGGUAUCCACACAAAAUGUCAAAGACUGUGAGUGAAAAGCAGAAGCAGAGAUAUGACAGCCAACAGGACGGGCAAAGAGG
rnacentral:lncRNA from 1 species